CCUACGGGCGGCAGCAGUGAGGAAUAUUGGUCAAUGGGCGCGAGCCUGAACCAGCCAAGUAGCGUGCAGGAUGACUGCCCUACGGGUUGUAAACUUCUUUUAUAAAGGAAUAAAGUGAGGCACGUGUGCCUUUUUGUAUGUCCUUUAUGAAUAAGGAUCGGCUAACUCCGUGCCAGCAGCCGCGGUAAUACGGAGGAUCCGAGCGUUAUCCGGAUUUAUUGGGGUUAAAGGGAGCGUAGAUGGGUUGUUAAGUCAGUUGUGAAAGUUUGCAGCUCAACCGUAAAAUUGCAAUUUAUACUGGCAGUCUUGAGUACAGUUGAGGUAGGCGGAAUGCAUGGUGUAGCGGUGAAAUGCUUAGAUAUCACGAAGAACUCCGAUUGCGAAGGCAGCUUACUAAACU
rnacentral:rRNA from 1 species